UUGUAAGUACAAAUCAGUCCUAAACCUCCUUGUCAACGCGCAAUCUUGUCUCACCUCAGAAGCUAAGCGGGGUUGACCUGGUUAGCACUUUGAUGGGAGAUUGCUGGAAAUAGCAGGUGCAAU
rnacentral:rRNA from 1 species